UGGGGAAUAUUGCACAAUGGGCGCAAGCCUGAUGCAGCCAUGCCGCGUGUAUGAAGAAGGCCUUCGGGUUGUAAAGUACUUUCAGUCGGGAGGAAGGUGGUAAGGUUAAUAACCUUAUCAAUUGACGUUACCGACAGAAGAAGCACCGGCUAACUCCGUGCCAGCAGCCGCGGUAAUACGGAGGGUGCAAGCGUUAAUCGGAAUUACUGGGCGUAAAGCGCACGCAGGCGGUUGAUUGAGUCAGAUGUGAAAUCCCCGGGCUUAACCCGGGAAUUGCAUCUGAUACUGGUCAGCUAGAGUCUUGUAGAGGGGGGUAGAAUUCCAUGUGUAGCGGUGAAAUGCGUAGAGAUGUGGAGGAAUACCGGUGGCGAAGGCGGCCCCCUGGACAAAGACUGACGCUCAGGUGCGAAAGCGUGGGGAGCAAACA
rnacentral:rRNA from 1 species